UUCUCUUCUCGGCCUUUUGGCUAAGAUCAAAGUGUAGUAUCUGUUCUUAUCAGCUUAAUAUCUGAUACGACGUCGACAUGACGUCAAGAUAUUAAACUAAUUUUUGCAGAUAGGCUUGUGGUUAGGAAUUUAUUCCGCCCUCCCUCGCCACGGGUUGGCCUGCUAUGGCACUACUUGCAGGAUACGGCCCACAAUAU